ensembl:lncRNA
GCUGCGGCCCCACCAGGGCAGCUGCAGGUGAUGGGCUGGCAGCCCAGUGCGGGCUGUGCGAGGGGCAGGGGGAGGGCAGCCCUGGGGCUGUGGGGGGCUGAUGGCAGUGGAUAGGGAAAUAGCGGACGGCAAGGCAGUUCUUGUCUUGACAGUACGUGAACUGCAAGGGAGUUGAUAGAUGGUGGCUAGCAGUAACAGAACCUUCUUUUGUCUUUGCUGCAGAGGAGUCCUUGCAGUUCACUUGACCCCCUCCUCCAGGAGGAAGCAGGAUCAGCGCCCGGUGCUGCCCCAGCGCCGGCAGAAGAACAGCGGCUCUUGGAAGCGUGACCUGCUGGGAGAUCGUCGGGGAGAAGAGGACGCGCCUUCUGCGCCGAGGGAGGUAUGUCAGUGUCUGUGCUCGUGGCCCAGCACACAGAACGUUCCUGGCUGGGAGGGGUGUGCCCAUGAGAUAAGGCAGGGCAGUGGAGGAGCUGAAGAUGACGGGAAAUGUUCUGCAUCUGCGUUUCUUGCACAGGCCGCUUCCUGGGUGUAACCACCAGUGGGGCUCUGACAGUUUCAAAAUGCUUUAGCCGGAGUUGGAGGUCGGAACCAAACGACAGACCUGUUCAUACACAGCUUUCUCUUUUGCAGUUCAAAGUCUUUCUUCCCUUCUCUUUGUGAUUGUCUCUGUUGACCUGGUGGCAACCAACUCUUCUCUUUUGCAUUUGUUUUGCUCAGCCUUCUCCUGUCAUCCGACCUUCAAGGAGACGAUGCUCAGCUGCUCCGGAACAGCCACGGAGGAAACAGACGGAAGAGGAGAGCCCAGAUGACUGCGCCCGUGUGAACUGCCAUGCAGAGACUGAAUGCAGAGACUGAGCCAGCAAACAACGGAGUAGAUAGCAUAGAGAGUUAGUUAACGCUAAAAUGUAUUAGUAUAGCAUAGUGCAGUUGUCAAAUAGCUUUGUAAAUAAAUUCACUUUGUUCGUAUCCUUAUCUUGUGUUGUGUAAAAUGAUGGGGAUGGGUAGUCUGAUACUUCAGGAAAUAAAUGAUUUGGAAACGUAUCUUUUCUGUUGUUGUGGUUUUUUGGGGGAGGGGUAGGGGGGUGGGCAGGAGGGGCUUACAGUGAAAUCCUGGACUGAAUUUACAGUUUGUGUCACACAAGGAAGUAGAAACACCUGUUCUAACAUUAGUUUGACCAUUGUUCAUGGCUGUCCAGCUCUGGAUUCUCAUCCACAGGGAGGUGCUGGGUUCCCAUUGCAGAGCUGGGAGCCCCAGCACAGCCAAGGGAAGCUCAGUGCGCCCCUCUGCAGAAGCACGUGUCUGCUGGAGACUGCAGGGGUGCUGCUGCUCUCUGUGUACUCAGUGCCAACAGCUUGUCCUUCCCGUGCUGAGUGAGAAGCCUGCUAAUCUCGCAUUACUUGUACUCUUGUCUAAAUCUGAUUUUUACAACCAUUAUGCUAGAACAAAUAGGAUUAAUCCAAUGGUGGAGUAUUACUCGAGCUUCACACCAGUCAGUGUGACUUGCAAACUGUAACCACUUCCAUCUGCACCAGAGCACAGAACUGCACUCUGUAUUUCUCCCCAUGCUUUUGUCACUUGCAUUUGUGUAACGUGGAGCUCUGGUUUUGACAGAGGCAGAAGGAAUCAUAGCAGUUUUUGCCUUUUAACAGGUCUGCCUGCGUUGGGAUUGUAGGUACUCCUUAGUGACCCUGCCCAAGCUUACAUACCAAAAGGCAAGGGCUGCACACCAACAUUUGUCUGUAGAAAUUUGAUGUUGGACAGUUGCAGAAUUAUUUGUAAGGUUUGCUACGUACUGCAGAAGAGCAGCAAAUAAGUCAAAGCAGAAGGAUAAGCUGCACUAUCCAACAGCCCGUUCGCUCUAUUUGACCAGUUAGAACGUAAAGCCAUUUAAGCAGAAAACACAGUUUAAGUCAGGUAGCAUAACUGCACUUAGUUCAGCAGAACAAAAUACAACUCCUGGAUAUUUGUUGCCAUUUUGAGGAUGUUAAUGAAGAAAACAAACAACGAUAAACCACAACGCUCCUUUUUGAAGAACCACAUCCCAACCGUCACGUUUCCAUUGGCUCUCUGUGAAUUGGUGUUGCUGCACUGGGAGGAAAUCCCGAUAUACCCCAACAGACGGCAGGGAAGAAAACCAACAGCUGUCCCUUCAGCACCGGGCAGCCCCUGCACAGCGCCUGGCAGUGCCAUAGGCAGCCCAAAGCACAGUGUGUGAAUCGACACUGAAGGACACCGCUGGCAGGAAGUCAAUGAAUGUGGGUAUCUUCUGCCGCUCCCCAGGCACACAGCUCAGUAAGUUCACAGGCAUAAGCUUCCAUUGGACUUCUGGAGGGAGGUGUUCCCUGCUGUGGUCCUCUGAAACUAUCGGUGUUGGACUUCAGAACACCAGCAGAGGAGAGCAGAUGAUGACGUGGCUGCAGCUCCAGCACAUGGGUUUGUACUGUGCAGCCACUGCGUCUCAGAAACACUCCUUUGUGAAUCUCUUCCUUCUUCAUGGCACAGCAGCAACACAGCACCCCAGGAACUGUAUCUCUGGGGUCAGUUCCUCUGAUUCACAUCUGGCACUGCUUUGGAAAACAAGGCUGGAGAGUGUGUUCCUGUGUAACUCAUCCAUCACCUCUGAUCAAACAUCCGUGCCUUCACUGACCCACUUAAAAACACGAAUGAAAUAGCUGAGCUUCCUUUAAAAAGAAUAAUCCUGUAGUUUGUACUUGUGCUCCUCCCAUUACACUAACACAACUAACAGGUAUUAAAGCAAGAGUUCCACCUUCUCAUACCAGCAAUAAACACCCUUGAACAUUAUGUUCCUUCCACCCUACAUUUCAUAGAACCAUAGAGCAGCUUGGGUUGGAAGGGACCUCAAGGAUCAUGAAGCUCCAACACCCUGCCACAGGCAGGGCCACCAACCUCCACAUUUAAUACCACACCAGGCUGCCCAGGGCCCCUUCAACACCUCCAGGGGAGGACAUCCACAGCCUCUCUGGGCAGCUGUUCCAGCACCUCACCACUCCCAUAGUAAAGGACUUCCCCCCGACAUCCAACCUAAAUCUUCCCUCCUUCAUCUUAAAACCAUUUUGCUUUUGCUGUCCAUGUGAAAUCACCAGAUGACAAAAUGAGCAGAGCUAUAGCUGAUUCCAAGGUGAAAGGAAAGGUAAUCUCACACGUCUCAUGCUGACGUGGCCGACGGCUUGCUCAGAGCCACUGUUGCUUUUGGCUUUAAGAAAUACUGCUGUCUCCUUCUUCUGCCACAUUGGUUGAAGGUGGCUUCUGCCUUGGCACAGCAUCCAAAACCGUCCCAAGAUCCAUAAUGGGGUUUGCUACCAAGUGCUAUCUUACACUCCUCUUACCAAGGUUUACACAGCAUUUUGCUGUUCUGUAUUACAAGAACAGAGAUUGCUUCUGCAGCCAAUUACCUGUGUUAAAAUGGAGCAGUAGGGGCAGAAAUGCAUCACUUGAUGUUAUAACACAUUUUAAUGAGGUUUUCAGCCCUCAUCAUUGAGGAGGAUAUCAGCUUUCCCUGCACCUUGUAAAUGCCACUAUAAAUAAGCAACAUUUUGUUGCAUAAGCAAUGUAUGCAGUUUUUUUCUUUUUCUUUCUCUUUGUGGAGCUGAACUGCAUAUAUAAGUUCAUGCAAGGCAAUCUGAAUUUAUGAGUUUUGUCCUGCAGAGUGCUGCAUACAUAUUCACUAUGCCAACUAGUAGCACAAUUUGGCUGACAAAGGCCAAUCAACAGAUGGCUCACGCUGCUACGGCCAGAUCAAAAUUGCCCUUUGCAACAGAUCCUCCACACCCUGUAUUUGUGCCUACAUGCCUACAUUCUGGUAAGGGAAGCCAAGAGAUCAAAGUAACAAACCAAUAUCUGCGUUUUAAUUGUAUGAAUACAUAAACAUUUGAUAAAUUCAUCCCUGUUACUGCAAGUGCAGUAAGGGCUGCAGUUGGGAAGAAGGAAGGGU